CCUACGGGUGGCUGCAGUGGGGAAUAUUGCACAAUGGGCGCAAGCCUGAUGCAGCCAUGCCGCGUGUGUGAAGAAGGCCUUCGGGUUGUAAAGCACUUUCAGCGGGGAGGAAGGCGGUGAGGUUAAUAACCUCAUCGAUUGACGUUACCCGCAGAAGAAGCACCGGCUAACUCCGUGCCAGCAGCCGCGGUAAUACGGAGGGUGCAAGCGUUAAUCGGAAUUACUGGGCGUAAAGCGCACGCAGGCGGUCUGUCAAGUCGGAUGUGGAAUCCCCGGGCUCAACCUGGGAACUGCAUUCGAAACUGGCAGGCUAGAGUCUUGUAGAGGGGGGUAGAAUUCCAGGUGUAGCGGUGAAAUGCGUAGAGAUCUGGAGGAAUACCGGUGGCGAAGGCGGCCCCCUGGACAAAGACUGACGCUCAGGUGCGAAAGCGUGGGGAGCAAACAGGAUUAGAUACCCGAGUAGUC
rnacentral:rRNA from 1 species